rnacentral:rRNA from 1 species
AUUGAACGCUGGCGGCAUGCCUUACACAUGCAAGUCGAACGGCAGCACGGGUGCUUGCACCUGGUGGCGAGUGGCGAACGGGUGAGUAAUACAUCGGAACGUACCUUAUCGUGGGGGAUAACGCAGCGAAAGCUGUGCUAAUACCGCAUACGCCCUGAGGGGGAAAGCGGGGGAUCGCAAGACUCCGCGCGAGUGGAGCGGCCGAUGCCUGAUUAGCUUGUUGGUGGGGUAAAAGCCCACCAAGGCGACGAUCAGUAGCUGGUCUGAGAGGACGAUCAGCCACACUGGGACUGAGACACGGCCCAGACUCCUACGGGAGGCAGCAGUGGGGAAUUUUGGACAAUGGGGGCAACCCUGAUCCAGCAAUGCCGCGUGAGUGAAGAAGGCCUUCGGGUUGUAAAGCUCUUUUGUCAGGGAAGAAACACCGGCUCUAACACAGUCCGGGAAUGACGGUACCUGAAGAAUAAGCACCGGCUAGCUACGUGCCAGCAGCCGCAGUAA